rnacentral:ncRNA from 1 species
CAUCUUCAGGGCGAGGCGCAAUUCCUCACCGGUGGUACAGCCCACGAGCCGUAAGGCAUGAUUCGGUGUAAUUCCGAAGCCGACAGUAUAGUCUGGAUGAAAGAAGAU